UAAUGAUUUUAAUAAUAUCGUGGUCAGAAAUAUCAACUAAUAUUUAUAAAAGUAAAAGUAUAUUUAUCAUGGAAUGUACCAAUAAAUUUAGUAAAUAGGUAUAUUGGACUGAAUUAACUAUUUACUUUUCCGAGCUAAUAAAAACUGUUGCAUAUUAAUUAAACUUUAACCGUCUUAUUCUUACUUUAGACAUGGUGUUAACAGUCGUUAAACCAUAUUUAUACCAUACAAAUUACGAAUUUAACGUCAGUUUAAACCACACCAAAAGCUGUUGUAAUAAGAACAUUAACUUUACUUUCAUUAAGGCCUAAUUAAAUAGUUACAUAAGUCAAAAACCUUUACGUGCAGUGGCCAAAGCACUACAAUAAAGCUGUUGGCCUAUUACCUUCUCAGUGUACUUGACCCUUAUGGAUUGAAUAUUACAAGGUAAUCAAGCGUUGACAAUAAGAUAUUAUCCAAAUAAAAUAAGCUUGAAAUCAAUAACUGAAUAUCACUGAUUUCAAGCUUUAAUAACUUAAAUUAUACCAUUUAACAUUAUUGUUAGAAAAACUGAAACAGCUAUUCAAGUGUUAGGUUUUGAAGUAGUAACCAUAAAGAAAGGAGAACUUAAUACUUUUACUAAUUCAAUAAAAUUAUUAUAGCUAUAGAUAACAAUAUAGAGUCAUAGAGAUAGUUGUCUAUAAGACUUAAAUAUUGAUCGUAGUUAUCAUAAAAUUUCAUUUGGUGCAAUGCAGAUGUCUAUGUUUGUUUACAAGAAACGUUGUUUAAGAGUAUCUGUAAUAUACAUAUACACUCAGGUACGUCUAAUCUGCACUUUAAAGUGAUAUACCUUACAUGAAUACAUGCGUGUAUAAUUUUAAUCAGGGUAACUAAUUAGGUAUGCGUUAAAUAUUGUAUUUUCCAUCGGUUCCAACGUACCUAACGCACGCCAUAAUUAAAAUUUUUAUUUUUUAUUCCGUUCUCACUCACUCUCACUCACUUAUCUCUACUCACUUGGUACUGCGAUCUCACUUAGUGGUAAGUGAUGGUACAGUUUAUGAUGAAAACGUAUGGAAAGUAUUACAUUAAACAUUAAUUUUAAAAUAUAAAAAUAGUGGCAUAUUAACAAAUAACAUUCCAUAUUAUAGCCCGCAUUGUACUUAACUACUAUGAUGCUAUCUGGUCCUAAUCUACAUAAUUAUAUUGUAAAUAUGUAUGUGUCUCGUAUGUAAAUGUUACAAAGUAAAGUAUUAAAUGGCACGGUAACAAAACAUCCUAUAUAAUACAGGUGAUAUAAUUAAAUUAGAGACAUGCGCAAACGCAACAUCUAGGACAGGCUUCGUCGCGCUGUAAUCCGUUUCAGAAUUCAGCCUCAGUCAUCUCCUAACCGCCAACGAAGUCACACGUUAAUAAAGCGUUAUAUAUAAUAUAUUAAUAAAAAAGAAAAAAAAGAAUUAAAAAAAAAUUGUUCUCAAUAAAAGAAUUUUACUAAAUUAAAAACCCCAUACAAAUUUCGGAAAUCCAGGAGCAUUUUAUUAUUGAGACCGAUUUUAAAAGGAAACCGAUAGCGAAUUAUUAUCGUGAGAAGUAAAGAAACAAUUGUUACAAAACAACCUACUUAACACGUUUAAAAGAGAUAAUAUUGGACAAGGAUACUAUACUAUCAUAUACAGUGUGACCUCGAAUUCUGCUAAAAGGGACAAUAAUUCGCCAUUUUCGUACGCUUUUAAAUAAAUAUUUGUUCAGUUU